GAUGAAGAACGUAGCGAAAUGCGAUACUUGGUGUGAAUUGCAGAAUCCCGUGAACCAUCGAGUCUUUGAACGCAAGUUGCGCCCGAAGCCAUCAGGUUGAGGGCACGUCUGCCUGGGCGUCACAUAUCGUUGCCCAAUGCCUAUUGCAGUGCAAUAGGAAUUUCUAGGGAGAAUGAUGGCUUCCCGUGAGCGUUGUUGCCUCGCGGUUGGUUGAAAAUCGAGUCCUUGGUAGGGUGUGCCAUGGUAGAUGGUGGUCGAGUUAGAACGAUACCGAUCAUGUGCAUGCUCCCCAAAAUAUGGCCUCUAUGACCCACACGCGUCUUUUGACGCUCAUGACGAGACCUCAGGUCAGGCGGGGCUACCCGCUGAAUUUAAGCAUAUCAAUAAGCGGAGGA
rnacentral:misc_RNA from 1 species